CAACUGGACUAGAAUCAGGCCAGAGUAAGGUGUUACCUGACAAAUUGCUGUACAGAAAAAUGUGCCAUGUCCUGCCCUACACAGAACUACCUAGCUAGUGAUGUGUAUCUGAAUCCCACCUUCGCUUUCCACCUUGAGAGGGAAGCAUGAAGGGGCAACGUGGCUGUUCUGGCCAUCUCUGUAAGAGACCUCUGGCACAGCUCAACUGAGGAAUGCACCUGGAAAGUGCUCUGCAUCUCCUCAAUUGGAGCUCUGGUGUUGAAUAACUCACAGGUAAAGUCAUAGCUUCAAGAUACUGGGAAAAUGAGAAGCAAAUUACAUAGAAAAUACCGCCUGGUGUGGAAAAUGCAUGCAUUCUUCCAAAAGGUCAUUUGUGAUUUUUUUUUCAUGUAAAUAAAUGUACAGUCAUUUUGGGUAUGUGAGAAAAAGGCAGCUUAGGUGUUGUAAUUACUCAACUAAACAUAAAUUACUGAAAAGAAAUUUGUGGUUGUAGAGUAAUUACAGUGUUAAUUGCCUUUAAAAUGCUCACCGUGUGAAUCUGUGAUUCUAUAAUGCAGAAAAAAAAAUGUUUUCUUAAAAUCUAUGACUUUGUCCUGUUGAGAAGCAGUGUAAAUAGGUGGGAAAACAAGAGAGGUGCCCCAUAAAGCUGGCAAUCACAAAAGGACGUCAGAGGUAUCUUUGGGAUGGAAGAUCAAAGGCAUGAGUGGUAAACAUACACUGCACUUCCUUUUUAGCAGACUUUGUUUUAGUAUAUGAAGUUCCUCCUUGUUGUAAUGCUCACUGUCCUAUUUCAGUCUGUUGCUGAUCGGAAAGGCAGUUAAAUCCAUGUUCUUUCUAUUGCAAGCAGGAUGGAGUAUGAGGAACAGGUCCUCCUGGAAGAGAUAUUAAGGUACACACGAGAUGAAGUGAUCUGAGAAAGCCACUAUGGCUUCACCAAGGGCAGAUUGUUACUGACCAACCUGGUGGCCUUCUGUGAUGGAGUGACAACAUCAGUGGACAAAGGAUGUCAUCCACCUGGACUUCUGCAAGGCUUUUGACAUGGUCCUGCACCACAUUCUUAUCUCUAAAUUGGAGAGAGGAGAGCACCACAGUUGUGUGAAGCUUUGAGUCAACAGACACAGGAACACCACACCUUUUCUGGGACUCACUGCCCCGCUUCUUGUGUAAGCGUGCCUGUAGUGGACAUCAACAUCUAAAAUCAAUCUUGUCUUAACGUCUCAGAAAAAAAAACCCUCUUUUCAGCUGAGCAUCUCUUGGAAUCACCAUCUGCAGAUGGUACUUGAAGACUGAAAAUACAGCC
ensembl:lncRNA